rnacentral:rRNA from 1 species
CAGGACUUGACAUGCCACUUUUUCCGUGCAAUGGGAAGUUCCAGAGUGGACACAGCUGGUGCAUGGCUGUCGUCAGCUCGUGUCUUGUAGAUGUUGGUUUAAGUCCCGCAACGAGCGCAAUCCUUGUUUUGAAUCACCAUUUAUGGGAAAUUCAAAAGACUGCCGGUGACAAGCCGGAGGAAGGUGAGGAUGACGUCAAGUCAGCAUGCCCCUUACGUCCUGGGCGACACACGUGCUACAAUGGCCGGGACAAAGAGUUGCAAACCCGCGAGGGCUAGCUAACUUCAAAAACCCCGCCGCCUUCCGAUUGCAGGCUGCAACUCGCCUGCAUGAAGUCGGAAUCGCUAGUAAUCGCAGUC